GAAGCUAGAGUACGGUAGGGGUUGAGGGAAUUCCCAGUGUAGCGUGAAUGCGUAGAGAUGGGAGACACCAGUGCGAAGCGCUCAACUGGACCGUAACUGACACUCAGGGACGAAAGCUAGGGGAGCGAAAGGGAUUAGAUACCCCUGUAGUCCUAGCUGUAAACGAUGAACACUAGGCGUUGCUUGUAUCGACCCGAGCAGUGCCGUAGCCAACGCGUUAAGUGUUCCGCCUGGGGAGUACGCACGCAAGUGUGAAACUCAAAGGAAUUGACGGGGGCCCGCACAAGCGGUGGAGUAUGUGGUUUAAUUCGAUGCAACGCGAAGAACCUUACCAGGACUUGACAUCUCGAGAAGGAAGCGUAAUGGCUUCUGUGCCUUAGGGAACUCGAAGACAGGUGGUGCAUGGCUGCCGUCAGCUCGUGUCGUGAGAUGUUGGGUUAAGUCCCGCAACGAGCGCAACCCUCGUUCUUAGUUGCCAGCAUUAAGUUGGGCACUUUAGGAAGACUGCCGGUGACAAACCGGAGGAAGGUGGGGAUGACGUCAAGUCAGCAUGCCCCUUACGUUCUGGGCUACACACGUACUACAAUGGUGGGGACAAAGGGCAGCCAACUCGCGAGAGUGAGCGAAUCUCAGCAAACCCUGCCUCAGUUCAGAUUGCAGGCUGCAACUCGCCUGCAUGAAGGAGGAAUCGCUAGUAAUCGCAGGUCAGCAUACUGCGGUGAAUUCGUUCCCGGGCCUUGUACACACCGCCCGUCACACCAUGGAAGUUGGCCACGCCCGAAGUCGUUACCCUAACCAAGUAAUUGGAGGGGGAUGCCGAAGGCAGGGCUGAUGACUAGGGUGAAGUCGUAACAAGGUAACCGUAA
rnacentral:rRNA from 1 species